UCCAUUAAAAGAGGGAGUGGGGGUCAGACUGGGAAACCAAAGGUUCCCACCAUAUGUAAAUGCUAUUUAAGGCUGGGGAGUGAAUUAAUCAAGGCUCUUCUCCAUUGACUCCCUGCCCAAGAAGGAAGACUCCUGAAAAUACCUGAAGAAACAAAGACGCUAAGCUGGGGGCAGGGGGCUGAGUCCAGGCAGGACACAUCAGCCUGUAAAAGGAAUCCCUGGAGAUUUAAAAUGCAAUCAGUCCAGUUUACCUUCAAGAAACACUGCAACCUACUUGAAACAACAUUUAGAGUAACUAUUGGUGGGUCAGAUUGGCAGAUCCCAAUGGCAUUCCAUGAAUAAUGAAAAUUUCAAAAGUGAUCAGAACCCAACAUCUCCCAGUAAGGCACCUAAGUUACUGCCUAGAUACUAAAGAGAGCUCAGCUCCCCUUUGGAGAACAAUGGGAGCUACCGAUGCUGACUCCCUUUGAAAAUCCGGUUCAUAGUUUCCCACGAUGUGCUAUACUGCCACGCUCCCAUGCAGUUGAUGAUCAACCAGGAACCUGAGCUGAUGAUUCAAGCUUAUGGCAUGUGCCACCACACAAUCUGAGUGUUUCUUACUCAAACAACGCAAACUGAAUUUGUAAGGAUAACAAACAAAGCCGCAUAGCUUGUAAACUGUCACAAAGCCUCCAGAAUCUGUGAAAUAUCUGACAGGAAAGAAUAUUUAUGGCAGUUUUGCUUGAUCCACAUUUUUUAAAUGUUUAAGAACUAAAAGAAACACUCAGACAGAAAGUAUUCCCUUCCAGCUGGUGCAUCUUGAAACCAGUAGCCAUAGUGAACUGUCACACAUGUAACAUUGAACAGCACUAAUCACAGUGUAUUUUUGGUGCUGGCAUGUUGUAAUGAGGAUGGAGUACCACAGGAAGGUGGUGAUAUUUGUGGGUUUUCUCACCCCAUUGCUAAAGGACUUUAGUGAUCCUAUGCGUUAAUCUGUCCCUGAUGAUAGCAAAAAGAUAUCUCCCAAACAGGGUCUACUGCACCUUUACAUUGGUAAAACUGAAAGGAGAAUUUGGCCCACAGUUUGUCAGAUUUUACACAGAAUCUGCGGACAGACUAGAAUAUACCCACAUCCUGAAUCCCUAGUUCAAAUAACCUAAACUUCUGUGUAGCAAUCUGAUUACAUUUAUCCAAGAGAAGGGCACCAUAAACACCCUUCUUGGAUAGAAAGUAUUCUAUUCCCCAUUACAAAUCAAAUGUAAGGGUCAAAUUUUGGCCCUGUAUAACACAGUUGAUCCCAUUGGGUUCACAUGUGUGUAAAUUAGGGCAAUAUUUGGCCUCAGUUUACUGGUUUCUUGCUUAGCUGUGAUUUAUAUUUGUCUGUCUAUUUUCCUAUUUGGGGUUUUGCACUAAAUCCAUCACCACAGUAGCUGAAAGUUGCACAAAAGCAUUAUGCCUAUGGGUCUAUUUUUAGUUUUUAAUGUUGGCAUAACUCAAGUAGCUCAUUUUAUUAUCUGAGCAAUGAAAAAUCCCAGUGAGUCAACUUCUAAAUGUUUUCAUUGUACUAACAUGAGCACUGACAAUUAUAGAAUCCAUUUAAAAAAUUAAAACAGAAAAAUGUUUGCUUACAGAUUUUACUCCUCUUCCCAUGUGCUAAAUUUAAUCUAGUUCUGCCAGAGUGGAUUUUUGAUAACCUUGUGAAAACAGGGCUUCUGCAUGGAAAAGCAGACAGACCCAUGACGAUGGGGGUGGGAGCAAGUGCAGCUCAAACAGAGUGCACAGAUAGUGCUCUCAGUGAUGAAAAUGCAAUUAAUAAUGAGUAGUGGCUGGAAAACCUCCUAGAUUAUUCAGCUGUCUUUAAUUUACCUUUCAAAGCAAACCAGGGGAAAUGACAGUUGCUUUGCAGUUUUUAAGAAGUGGCUGCUGUGACAUUAACCUAUUAUUUUCAUGAACUCUUCCACUGUUCACAACUGAUAUCAUUUGUAAUAUACACUGACAGAUACUGCUGCACCGAGAAGCAUUCUCUCAUGUUAAUUCUAUUGGAUGCCAUGGUAUUUUCCUCAUAACCUGUAGUAUAUCAUCUCUUGGGACAAAAAUCCACCCCAUCCCGGGGGGCCAUCAUAAGACCUAUGUGUCACUUAAGCUCUAUUUGAGUACAAUUGUAAAAGUAAAAUAUACUCUCAAUCUCAUCUGCACCACUGCUACAAAGCUCAAAAUGACAAUUGGCAGAGGAGGAAAGCUACCAGCAAAGAAAUAGUUACAAUGAACUGAGUUUCUGCCUUAUGCGUUAUGUCCUCAAUCUAUUCGGUAGUAUGUCAGUAACUGGAAUAUAUUAUAUUGCAUUUUCUGAACAGAAGGUAAGUUAGGGGAAAAUUAGGCCUAAAGCAUUCAAUCCAGAGCAGCAGCUAAUAUGGCCCUGAUCUGCAAAUACUCAUGUGAGCACUCCUAUAUAUACAGCUAACACUGGAGGAUUGACAUACAUCCUUACCUGCUUUAUUUAAUGAUUUGAUCUAAUAUUGUAAACAAAAAUGUAAAAAACUAUGACUAUUCUUUUGGAUUUUUAAACAAAUUCACAUCCGCUGUGUUCAUGCCCUACCUGUGUUUGCUUUUCAUGAGUACUCUAGCAAAUGAGUUUACUGGCAGGAAUAUGCUCCAACGCAAUUUCAUUGUCACUGCAUCUGAUGACAGCAAAAUCUCAUUUGCCUUUCCUUAUCUCACUGCUCAAUUGUUAUCCCCUCUCCUGCUUGUUCCUUUUGCUUUUUAUUUUUACUUUCUUCUUCUGAGCCAAUAGUCCUGAAUGUUGCCAAGACAAAAUGAAGAGGAGCUCGGUGCUGUCAUUUCUAAGUGCUAUACUGGAUAGCGAACACCCGGUCCACAUUGUUUUGGUAACUAAGCGUUUGGGUUUGUUUUUGGAAUGGUCACUGCAGCUACCAAAGCAGGCUCCCAUCUCUUAUGUGUGUUACUUUUCUU